GAUGAACGCUGGCGGCAUGCCUAAUACAUGCAAGUCGAACGGACUUGAGGAGAGCUUGCUUUCCGCAAGUCAGUGGCGAACGGGUGAGUAACACGUAGGCAACCUGCCCAUGUACCCGGGAUAACAGACGGAAACGACUGCUAAAACCGGAUAGGUAAGAGGGAGGCAUCUUCCGCUUAUCAAAGCACCCAAGGGUGUGGACAUGGAUGGGCCUGCGGCGCAUUAGCCGGUUGGCGGGGUAACGGCCCACCAAAGCAAUGAUGCGUAGCCGACCUGAGAGGGCGAACGGCCACAUUGGGACUGAGACACGGCCCAAACUCCUACGGGAGGCAGCAGUAGGGAAUUUUCGUCAAUGGAGGGAACUCUGAACGAGCAAUGCCGCGUGAGUGAAGAAGGUCUUCGGAUCGUAAAGCUCUGUUGCAAGAGAAAAACGACAAGCACAGGGAAUGGUGAUUGAGUGAUGGUAUCUUGCGAGGAAGCCACGGCUAACUACGUGCCAGCAGCCGCGGUAAUACGUAGGUGGCGAGCGUUAUCCGGAAUGAUUGGGCGUAAAGGGUGCGCAGGCGGCGCAUUAAGUUUGAAGUAAAAGGUAGCGGCUCAACCGCUGCAAGCUUCGAAAACUGGUGUGCUGGAGUGCAGGAGAGGGCAGUGGAAUUCCAUGUGUAGCGGUAAAAUGCGUAGAUAUAUGGAGGAACACCGGUGGCGAAGGCGGCUGCCUGGCCUGUAACUGACGCUGAGGCACGAAAGCGUGGGGAGCAAAUAGGAUUAGAUACCCUAGUAGUCCACGCCGUAAACGAUGAGAACUAAGUGUUGGAGAGAUUCAGUGCUGCAGUUAACGCAAUAAGUUCUCCGCCUGGGGAGUAUGCACGCAAGUGUGAAACUCAAAGGAAUUGACGGGGGCCCGCACAAGCGGUGGAGUAUGUGGUUUAAUUCGAAGCAACGCGAAGAACCUUACCAAGCCUUGACAUGGAUACAAAGGCUCCGGAGACGGAGAGAUAGGAAUGUAUCACACAGGUGGUGCAUGGUUGUCGUCAGCUCGUGUCGUGAGAUGUUGGGUUAAGUCCCGCAACGAGCGCAACCCUUGUCGCAUGUUACUACUAUCAAGUUAAGGACUCAUGCGAGACUGCCGGUGACAAACCGGAGGAAGGUGGGGAUGACGUCAAAUCAUCAUGCCCCUUAUGGCUUGGGCUACACACGUACUACAAUGGCGGUCACAAAGAGCAGCGAGCGAGCGAUCGUGAGCGAAACCCGAAAAGGCCGUCCCAGUUCGGAUUGGAGUCUGCAACUCGACUCCAUGAAGUCGGAAUCGCUAGUAAUCGCGGAUCAGCAUGCCGCGGUGAAUACGUUCUCGGGCCUUGUACACACCGCCCGUCAAACCAUGGGAGUCGGCAAUGCCCGAAGCCGGUGGCACAACCUGCAAAGGAGUGAGCCGUCGAAGGCAGGGUCGAUGACUGGGGUUAAGUCGUAACAAGGUAUCCCUACGGGAACGUGGGGAUGGAUCACCUCCUUUCUAAGGAGAAAGAGAAGACGAAGAUUCUGUCUGGUUUUGAGAGGACGAACUCUCAGAGGUCUUUGAAAACUGAAUGACAAGAUAAGACAUAGUGUCUUUUCGAAAGGUUGAAAGAAAAAAAGCGAGUAAAAAAACAGAAAACUCAAGUUCAAACCUAAGGAUAAGCAAAAACACGAAAAACAGUGAUUAAGAAAAGAAGGGCGUACGGAGGAUGCCUGGACACUUGGAGCUGAAGAAGGACGCACCAAACGGCGAAACGCUGCGGGGAGCUGUAAGGAAGCAAAGAUCCGCAGAUAUCCGAAUGGGGAAACCCGGCAUGGUGAGAGCCAUGUCAUCCGUGACAGACGUCACGAGAGAGGCACCCGGAGAACUGAAACAUCUAAGUAACCGGAGGAAAAGAAAACAAAAGUGAUUCCCCGAGUAGCGGCGAGCGAAAAGGGAGGAGCCCAAACCGAUCGAAGGAUCGGGGUAGAAGGACCGCAAGGAAGCGAGUGACGAUCGUAGUGGAACGGCAUGGGAAGGCCGGCCGAAGAGGGUGAGAGCCCCGUAGACGAAACGAGAGGAGCCGCGAGCGGGAUCCUGAGUACGGCAGGACACGAGAAAUCCGGUCGGAAGCAGGCGGGACCAUCCGUCAAGGCUAAAUACAACCAAGUGAUCGAUAGUGAACG
rnacentral:rRNA from 1 species